UACGGAGGAUGCAAGCGUUAUCCGGAUUUAUUGGGCGUAAAGCGUCCGUAGGUGGUUCAUCAAGUCUGCUGUCAAAGCGCGAGGCUUAACUUCGUACAGGCAGUGGAAACUGGUGGACUUGAGAGUGAUAGGGGCAGAGGGAAUUCCCAGUGUAGCGGUGAAAUGCGUAGAGAUUGGGAAGAACACCGGUGGCGAAAGCGCUCUGCUGGGUCAUAUCUGACACUGAGGGACGAAAGCUAGGGGAGCGAAUGGG
rnacentral:rRNA from 1 species